CGCUUCUCUCCCUCAUUCCUCGGACGACUUGCAGGUCUACAGACGGAUCUUCAGAGAUGAAGGAUCACGAUGCUCAUCCUGACUUCUGGAAAUCGGCAGAGGCUCGAUGGUGCCGUGAAAGCCCAGAGAUGUGACUUGGCUGUAGGGGACUGAGGAGAUGUCCUCAGGUCCGAGUCCUAUCCCAAACAGAUGGUCCUGAUGUUGGAUCCAGUUGUGCGUUCUUGGAUGAGCUGCAGCAGGGGUCUCACAAAAGGCAAAGUGGAGAUGUGGACACCUUGCUGUCUGACUCGUUGCUGCUCUGCUGAAUGAGCAGGCUCGCGACUCAUCCCCAUUCAGAAGAUGAUUAAACAUUCAUGGUUGUAAUCUCUGUGUGAGGGAUGGAGAAGACAGUGUGGACAAAACCAGAGUGAUUGAGAAGGAGAAAAGGUGAAGUUCUUUACCUGGUGUGAAGCCUCGGGCACUGAAGCAUAAUAAAGCACAAGUCUGUCACUUCAUCAUAAAUCUAAAUGGUACAGUCUGGUGCUGCUUCCUCAUAUGCUGGAAAGUGAUGUUUUGUUGACAGAUUUUUCACCUGCAGGAAUCAGUUUUCAGACACUGCUCAUGCCUAUUACUUGUGGAUUGCGACCUGAUCCUGUUGUCAAUUUGUAACAUAAUAAAAUAUUUGUUAUUGA